UGCCAGCCGCCGCGGUAAUACGAAGGGUGCUAGCGUUGUUCGGAAUUACUGGGCGUAAAGAGCAUGUAGGCGGAUGAAUUAGUCAGAUGUGAAAGCCCCGGGCUCAACCUGGGAACUGCACCUGAUACUGCCAGUCUAGAAUACGGUAGAGGGUAGUGGAAUUUCCUGUGUAGCGGUGAAAUGCGUAGAUAUAGGAAGGAACACCAGUGGCGAAGGCGACUACCUGGACCGAUAUUGACACUGAGGUGCGAAAGCUAGGGUAGCGAACGGGAUUAGAUA
rnacentral:rRNA from 1 species